rnacentral:rRNA from 1 species
UACAGAGGUCUCAAGCGUUGUUCGGAAUCACUGGGCGUAAAGGGUGCGUAGGCGGCGCGGAAAGUCAGAUGUGAAAUCCGGAGGCUCAACCUCCGAAUUGCAUCCGAUACUCCCGCGCUAGAGGGUUGUAGGGGAGCUUGGAAUUCUCGGUGUAGCAGUGAAAUGCGUAGAUAUCGAGAAGAACACUCGCAGCGAAGGCGAAGCUCUGGGCAACAUCUGACGCUGAUGCACGAAGGCUAGGGGAGCAAACGGG